GGCGUUGUGCCAGAAAAAUUGGGUCACUUUGAUGUAGUGGAAGAUGGGAAUAAAAUUUUCUCCGACGUCU
rnacentral:tRNA from 1 species